UCUCUCCCAAUCUUUCCCUCUCUCGCACCCUGUCGCUUCCGCCGUCGGCCGCCGGCCAGUACGCCGUCCCUCCCCGCACUCACGCACGCGCGGCCAGUCCACCGAGGGGAGACUCCAUAUUGACAACGCGAAACCCUAGACGCCACGGAGAUGGAGCAUCUCCGCCGCCUCGCCCAGUUCUUGCUCGCCUCAGCUCGCGCGGAUGGAGCAGGACGCGCCGCCCGUCCCCUCGCACCAGGCCCAGGACGACGGCGCCGUGGACGGCUGGGCGCGUGACGGCACGGAGCCCCCCCUCCCUUAUGGCGCCCCGGCAGAGUGCCCCGAGGCCGCAGAUCCUCCUCCCCUCCUCGGCUACGUCUCCUCGGUCGCUCGUGCGCGACCCUCAACUUCUGCAGCGGUGGGAGGAGCCCUACGACGACAUGCUCCGGCGACCCUGCAUCCGCAAGAAAGCCACAUGGAUUGGGGAUAUGUACCUCGGUUUGGGUUUAAAGGGGCAAUCUUUGAGCAUUUGUAUAUCAACUAUCGAGGAUCUCAAGUUGACAUGGACCGCACUAUGAUCAAGUGCAUUCUGGUGCUAUGAUGAUUGUGACAGAAGAUUUUAGCUGCAGAAGCAAUCGCCAUGUCUCAGUUCCAAUAUUAAAAAUCAGUGCACCUGAAUUACGACACAAUUUUUGUCAUCUGGAACUGCGCUUAUAAGGUGUUUGGUCUUACGCUCCUGAAUACAAUGUGAUAUAAAAGGUUCAUGAAAUCAUCAGCUUAACAUUCGACACUUCCUUCAAAGGGGUCCUUCAGCCUCCAAGGAGAAGGGAAGUGAUGUCUGACAGGGAAAGAAACUAGGCGAAGCUCUGGAUGCUCGAUCGGACAUUUGAUGUGUGGUAGUACGUGUGUGAUGAAGCAUGGUGUAGUAGCAAACUAGCAACUGUUUCUGACAUACCAUGGAUUUCUUUCUGCCUCUAUUUGAUGCUCGGUGGUGCUGAUCCGAAGGUCCGUGCGGACCCUGCUCUGGACAUAUGUCUCCUUAAUUUCCGUGUGCAAUUGUGCAAUCCAUGCUUUACACUUUAAAAUGAGAAUAAAAUUUAGCUCAUGUUGCCCUUCCAUCAUGCACCCAGAAUAUAUUACCUUUCUGCUUUUUAUAUUUUGGUUGGGCAUGUUUCAUGAUCAGAGGAUCGAUGAUUUGUGAUGAUUUGUUAUGCUAGACAAUGGAAAUAAGAUUUGGUGGAAAACAAAUGAUAUGAUAGGUGAUUUAUGAUGUACUACUAUUUUAGAUAACAAUACUAAGCUUUUAUUUGGUUGUUCUGCAUUUUUCCCUUUGCGAAGAUAGAUAUUAUAAGAGAUAAACAUCAUGUACAGGUUAACUUUUUGUGUGCCUAUUAGUAUGCCUUGCUGCCAAGUGGAAAUAGUCUAUAUGAUGCUCAAAAAUAGAGCUUCCUGGUGGGAAGGAUGAGGCACACUCAUUGAUACUUUGGUUUUAUAUCCAUUUGUUAUGCAGUUUUUCUCUUCCAAGCAUAUAAACUUUAGCAAAUUAGAGUGUGCAAUCAAGUCUCCUAAGUGAACAUUUUUACCAUAUUAUCAAGUUUGAGGGCAUAUACGAUACGAGCAUAUAAGAUAAGAGCAUGUCAUGCUACCUGAAAAUCUGCCUGGAGAUCUAAUUCCGUAUUUUUUCUAUUUUGUCGUUUAGAAAACCAGUUUCCUGAGUUGUUAGUCUGAGUAUUCAAAUUGAUCCGCAGAGUUCAGGGCUUCUGGAUGGAAGAGUUUCCUACAACGUCAAAAUCUUAGUACUCUCUACAUAGACUUCAUAAUUAUGCCUGACUUUUUCUGAGGAAUUGUUGAAGUAUGCCUUUUCUUUGGGUUGUUUGUGCAUUUGCAGUGUUGGAGGUGUUAGUGCAAGAUUGUAGAGUUGGAAAGUAUAGUAAAACGUCAGUUGGUGCAGGGACUUGGUGAAGCCAUCAGCCUCAACUGUGUCUGCUUCCCCGAUGGUUUUGACUUCUGACUAGUGAUUCUGAUGCAUAUUACUUGAUGAUUUGGUCUUUGUGGCAACUUUCAGUUUGAACUGGCAUUCAGUGGCUUCAUCCUCUUUGGUGCAGCCUGGAGUUAGUAGUGUGCACAUCUGAAUCUCUUGACUUUUUCCUGAAGCAUAUUACGUGGUUUAUGGUGUCUGCUAACUUGCAUGCGAUUUUGAUGGAAUCUGAUCUUGUUUUUUGCUCCCAGUAUAUACAAAAGGCUAGAAGUAAAUGAUGGAAGAUCCUUUAGUCUCAACGAGGGUUCUACUUUUGUACUCAAAGUUUGUAUGGUAGAUAAUCAAAUUUUGUUCUUUAGCUUGCAAAAUUAUCAGCUUAUAGAGAAGUAAAUGUUGCAUUGAGCUCUUAUUAUCUCCACUAGCAGGCAGAAGAGUUUAAGCCUGUCAUUUAGCAAAUGUGUAGCUUAAUUUAUUGUUGCUUGUAUCUGCUACUAAUAGUUUAUUGUGUUUUGGUAAGUGAAAAUAAUAUAGUGAGCAGUAUGGAUCACUUAGUUAAUUACAUGACUUGGAGGCAUUCAGGAUGCAUGAAAAAGUUCAGCAGGGUGAGCACUGGUCUAAGAGAGUACACUAUCUAGCUAAAUUAUUUACAGAUGAAGAUAAAGUUGGUGGAGUUGCUUGUGGCCUGUCAGCACUCCGGAUGAUUUGCUAUUGGCCUUCAUGCUUGGAGUCGAGAGAAUAAUUCUUUUAAGCUCUGGUUGUUAUAUAUUCUUGGCAGACCUGAGUGUUUGGGUUUAUAUUGGAUUUUCGUGCAGAAAAGAUCCGCUGGCUUUGUAUGCUCUCAUGUACAGUGUGCUCAGAGGAUGGCAGAGUUGCAAUGAUAUCUUUGUUCGAUGUAUCAUCUGCCAUUGGUACAUAGGAUGAAGAAGGUGGGAUGGCCAGGCAGCGUGUUGAUCAUCAGGAGUAGCGGUAACUGGUCUUAAUUCUCUAAGUAUUCUGUUGCUCAUACAUGGAAAUGUAAAUUGCUUGGGAUGUACCUUGGCCAUGGCUGUGCAUCUGGACAGUUAGAACAACCAUAUGAUCCAUUUCCAUCUGUUCUCGUUUUCUCCCAGCAAACUUUACAACUCAUAUACCACCAGUUAUUUCAGUGACUUUGAUUCUCAGCUUAUAGUAUUUCUUCUACACAUGUAUUGAAAAUAUGUAUUCCGGCCGAAAGUAUAUGUAGUUGUAGAAAUGACGGUGGAUUAUUUUUAAAUACCAGUGUCAGUGGGAUCAACCAAAGCAUUGAUAGUGAUUUCUGUUGUUUCUUGGCGACCUUGCCCUGUA